rnacentral:lncRNA from 1 species
GAAUGGAUUUGAGUAUUGCCACAGAAGAAAACAUACCAUCAUAAUCAAUACCAUAACAUUGACGAUAUCCCUUGACAACCAAAUGAAUUUUAUAGGUCUCCACCUUUUCAUUUGUGCCUUUUUUUGUUGGAGAAUCUAUUUGCACCCUAUGGAUUUAAUCCCUUCAGAUGGAUCAACUAGUGUCCAAACACCACUAAUCUCCAUGGACUCCACUUCAGACUUCAUUGCUCCAAGCUACUUAUCUGAGUUGGAUCUCUGCAUGGCAUCCAUGUAGGUGAUCGGAUCCUUAUUAUUUUUAUCAAGUUCAAUAGGAUCACCAUCUC